GCCCUGCUGGCGCAAUGGUAGCGCGUUAGACUUCUAAUCUAAAGGUUGUGGGUUCGACCCCCACGUGGGGCU